rnacentral:ncRNA from 1 species
UUAAUUGAGAAUUUGAUCCUGGUUCAGGAUGAAUGCUGGCAGUGUACCUUAAGCAUGCAAGUCGAACGGAUGAGGCCGCAAGGCCAAAUCAGUGGCAGACGGGUGAGGAUUGACAGGAACCUACCUUUUGUUGGGGAAUAGCUCGCCGAAAGGCGAGAUAAUACCGCAUAAGAUCGCAAGAUGAAAGGCCUUAACCGGCCGACGAUAGAUGGGCCUGUUUGCUAUCAGCUAGUUGGUGAGGUAAUGGCUCACCAAGGCUAUGACGGCUAGGGGACGUGAGAGCGUGGUCCCCCACAAUGUUACUUAGACACGGAACAUACACCUACGGGUGGCAGCAACUGGGAAUUUUGCACAAUGGACGAAAGUCUGAUGCAGUGACACUGCGUGUAGGAUGAAGGCCCUCGGGUCGUAAACUACUGUGAUAGGGGAAAAAAUUUUGAUGGUACCCUAUUAGAAAGUACUUGCUAACUACGUGCCAGAAGCCUCGGUAAUACGUAGAGUACAAGCAUUAUCCGGAUUUAUUGGGCGUAAAGAGUAUCGUAGGCGGUCUAUUAAGUAACGGGUUAAAGCCCGGGGCUCAACCCCGGAGAUGUCCGUUAAACUGGUAGACUUGUGGAUGUUCGGGGUUACUAGAAUUCUUGGUGGAAGAGUGAAAUCUGUUGAUAUCAAGAAGAAUACCAAAAGCGAAGGCAGGUAACUAGGACAUUCCAGACGCUGAUGAACGAAAGCUAGGGGAGCGAAAGGGAUUUUGACUAGUCCCAUCACGCAGUAAUGCGUGAUUAAAGAAUCGGCUAUAUCGGUGAAAGUCCUUGCGGUUUCGGUUUACUUUCGGGUAUACUGAAUAAGUGAGGAAAACACCGAGGGAAGUUUUUAACUAUAAGAAGAAUGAAUUUUGUUUAACUAAAACUCAAAGGAGCGUUUUAAUUGGAACAAUGUUAGGUGAUAGUGGGUUGAGAUUUCGGGGAAUAAAUUGUCGUUUGCAUAUCAAGCAUAGUCUUAAACAGCUAAGUUUGGUGAAUUACAAAUGGCGUAUUUUUGAACCUAUUAUUUCAAUGAAAGUAAGAUGUUUCAGUCAGAAAGUCGGCAUGAAAGACUACAACUUUGCCGAGUUUGUGACUUUAACUCAUCCUAUUUUUACCUAUUAUUACCAGUUGUUUUAUAAAAACCACAAGAAAGUUGUUGUCGAUGAGAUGGCAACUGCAAUUGAUCCUUUGGUACUGGCUGUUUGGAUUAUGGAUGAUGGAUCUGCAGAAUAUGCUGGUUUAUCAAUCCAAACCCAUAGUUUUUCUGAAGUGGAGGUAAGUUUACUUAUCAAAGCUAUUAAGAAAAAUAUUGGGAUUCAGGCAUCGAAGCGAAUUAAUAAAGGAAAAUAUAUUAUUUAUUUCCCCUUUAGAACCUUGCGUGAUUUAAAAGCCAAGUUGGGUAAGUAUAUCUUGCCUGAGUUUGAAUAUAAAUUUAUUCCAUAUAGGGAAAAACCCCGUAGAGACUGUACGCCGGACUCCGAUGAAAAUCGGAGCAUGAUACAGUCCGAUCUGUGCAGUAAUGUACAGAGUUAACCAGAAAUGAUUAACCGCCUUGAUGAAAAUCGAGGUUAGUAUUCCACUUUGAUGGAAGAAGUAACAGUUAUGUAGAGACCCCUGUAGUCCUAGCCGUAAACUAUGAACACUAGCUAUUUCCCGUAAGGGGAGUGGCGUAAGCUAACGCGUUAAGUGUUCCGCCUGGGGAGUACGACCGCAAGGUUAAAACUCAAAGGAAUUGACGGGGAAACGCACAAUCAGCGUGCCAUGUGGUUUAAUUGGAUACGAAACCUUGAACCUUACCUAGAUUUGACAUGUAACUGCAAAUCCCUGGAAACAGGGACUCCUUUCGGGUUAAAUGAAAUCAAAUGGGUAAUACCGAGGGAAGUCAGACUGACAUUCGGCAAAUUCUAAUACGAAAGAAUAUUCACAUAUUCCUUUCGCAUGAUGAUUUAUGCCAGAAUGUAUGAAAUAUAAAGGUCUUGACCCCGUAACGACUAGAUUCCUGUUUAGACAGGAUGAAGAUGGGUAGAGUAAUCUAUUUCCAUAACACGUCGACCCCUAACGCGAAAGCGAAGGGUGAAGGUAUAGUCUACGUUUGAAGUAAUGUUCAAAUAUUUUUGGAGGCGUCGGCUUAAGUGCCGUAACGAACGCAACCCCUGUGCUAUGUUAAAUAUCCAUAGCAGACUGCCUUGGAUUUUUCCAAGGAGGAAGGAGGGGAUGACGUCAAAUCAGCAUGGCGCUUAUAUCUAGGGCUACACACAUGGCGUAAUGGGUGGGACAACGGGAUGCCAAGGCGCGAGCCAAAUAAUAUGCGCCUUCCGCUAAUUUUUUCUAGGAGGUGAAAAUCCUCCGGCAAUGUAAGUAUUGCGAAGCGAAAUAACAAGCAUUAAUCGGUGACGAUAAUGCUGAAGGGUUAAAGUAGCAGUUUU